rnacentral:rRNA from 1 species
AGAGUUUGAUCCUGGCUCAGAUUGAACGCUGGCGGCAGGCCUAACACAUGCAAGUCGAGCGGAUGAGUGGAGCUUGCUCCAUGAUUCAGCGGCGGACGGGUGAGUAAUGCCUAGGAAUCUGCCUGGUAGUGGGGGACAACGUUUCGAAAGGAACGCUAAUACCGCAUACGUCCUACGGGAGAAAGCAGGGGACCUUCGGGCCUUGCGCUAUCAGAUGAGCCUAGGUCGGAUUAGCUAGUUGGUGAGGUAACGGCUCACCAAGGCGACGAUCCGUAACUGGUCUGAGAGGAUGAUCAGUCACACUGGAACUGAGACACGGUCCGGACUCCUACGGGAGGCAGCAGUGGGGAAUAUUGGACAAUGGGCGAAAGCCUGAUCCAGCCAUGCCGCGUGUGUGAAGAAGGUCUUCGGAUUGUAAAGCACUUUAAGUUGGGAGGAAGGGCAGUAAGUUAAUACCUUGCUGUUUUGACGUUACCGACAGAAUAAGCACCGGCUAACUUCGUGCCAGCAGCCGCGGUAAUACGAAGGGUGCAAGCGUUAAUCGGAAUUACUGGGCGUAAAGCGCGCGUAGGUGGUUCAGCAAGUUGGAUGUGAAAGCCCCGGGCUCAACCUGGGAACUGCAUCCAAAACUACUGAGCUAGAGUACGGUCGAGGGUGGUGGAAUUUCCUGUGUAGCGGUGAAAUGCGUAGAUAUAGGAAG